GGCUUUUUGUUGAUAAUCUAAAGUCUGACCUGCCCACUGAAAAUUUAAAGGCCGCGGUAUUUUGACCGUGCGAAGGUAGCAUAAUAAUUAGUUUUUUAAUUGAAAGCUAGAAUGAAUGGUUGAACGAGGAAAUGACUGUCUCUAUAUUAAUUUAUUAGAACUUUAUUUUUAAGUUAAAAAGCUUAACUAAUUUUCAAAGACGAGAAGACCCUAUAGAGUUUUAUAGAUUAAAAAGUUAAAAAAAAGUUGUAUCAUUCAUUUUAUAUUUUUUAUUCUAUUUUAUUGGGGUGAUAGAAAAAUUUAAUAAACUUUUUUUUAAUAAGAACACUAAUGAGUGAAUUUUUGAUCCAUUGUUUAUGAUUAUAAGAUUAAAUUACCUUAGGGAUAACAGCGUAAUUCCUUUAAAGAGUCCGAAUCGAAAAAGGAGUUUGCGACCUCGAUGUUGGAUUAAAAUUAAUGUUUGGUGUAGAAGCUAAGCAAUUGGGUCUGUUCGACCCUUAGAAUUUU
rnacentral:rRNA from 1 species